ensembl:lncRNA
AAAUUGCUUAGACUUGUGAAGUUGAAAACUGCAUAGCCUAAUUAAAAAAAAAUGUUUCUAUGUUACUGAUCAAAUUUUUUUCCUAGUGUAGUUCAUUGUAAUGCCAUUGUGUUCUUCUCUUUUGUGCAGUUUUACAUAAUACACCAACACUUUUACCUGUUCCCAACAAAGUGGUGGCUGAAAUAUGUGCAGACAGUAAAGAAACCCUCUCAGAUGACUGUCCUUUGGAGGAAGUACUUGCAAAAGAUGACCAUCAAUGGCUUCUAUUGACAUAAUCAUUGAAAUAACACUCAAGAAAGUAAGCAUGUUGUCUUGUCUUUUAUUAAUUUAAUGAAGGCUUUUCUGUGUAA